AACAGAUUAAGAGGCCACCUUUGAUGUGCUGUUUUCUCCUAUUACUGCAAGUUGCAGUACUGUGAUCUGUCAUUCCCUGUGUGGAUAUUCAAAGGUGUGUGCACAUGGACAGCCCUCAGCUGGGUAACUGGGAGAUGGGUACCCAGCUGCAUUAUUCCAAUUUUGAAUAUGUGCAAUUCCACCCGUUUCAGAGGUGUUUCACCUGCAGUAAAACUGCCUCAGCAAGGUGGUUCUUGUCAAAGUCUUAUAGCUUAAACCUGCUUUUUUCCUCCAGAGAUCAUUCUUGCUGGAGGUAGAUGAAUCCUAGUCCACACUCCUGUUUCAAGGCAUGAAUUUCUCUUGGACACUAGGGCCAAGCUGCAGCCCUGAGCAAUAACAAGACCAUACCCAGCACCCAGAGUCCAUAGAAGAGCCCUGGAAUCAGAAAUUGCAACCUACUUUGAAGCGAUUUUGUUUACUGCCUGUGCAAGUCCAGACCUUGCCUUGGGUACACAGUGGGGACUUGCUACAAGAGGACAUGAGUGGAGAUGAGGAGGUAGGGAUGGAUGUUAUUUGCAAGCUAUCAAGCUCACUGCUUGUGAGAGAAUGGAAAACCUUUGUCUGACAAAGACGAUUUUGUGGGGUUUAAAGGCAAGGCUUGCUUGUCAUCCACACACCAAGGGAUCUCUGAUAGGAGAAUAUCUCGUGCCAUGAUCCCAUCUAAUCUUGAGAAGCAGUACAAGCCAGCAGGAGUGAUGCCUUCAGUAGCUGCCUGGUCAGCCACAAUGCUCCCUUUCCAAAACUGCACCCCGUUCCUGAGAUUAGGAUAGAUGCUGGUGUGAGCCCCCCCAUAUCACAGGCUGCCAGUUGCUCAGAAAUCCCUGCUCUGAAUGGGUGAAUGGGUGGUUUCAUGGUGGGUUGAAAGUACAGCCCUGUCCUCAGUGUAACCUUUAAACUUGAUUAAAAAGCUUCCAGGGCCAGGCAGCCUGGGCUGCAUCCUUUGUUCAAUUCUGGCAGUGGCUCUUGCAUUCCCUAAUCCCUGUUAAUAUCACUGCUUGUCAAAGAAGAUUUGUGCCUUUCCUGGAAGAUGGACGCCUAUUUUGUACCAGCCAGGGAAGAAGGAGACGCCUCAUCAGCUGGUGCCGGGAAGAGUGAGUAGCAGACAAGAAAGGCAUCCUGUUUUCUGGGGAGAAGGAGCAGGAGGUUUAAUAUGAAAAGCUGUGAUUCAACUUUGUGCAGAAAGCUGUUCAUCAAGCUCCCAGAAAAGCUGACCCAGCUGGGAUCUCUCCCAAGCAAGCGUGAAUGGUGCCUUGGGCAGGAGUGGGACAGGAGGACUACAAUGGGAGAAUUUCUAAAUCAUUACUAUUGUUUAUUCACAGACAUUGAAUAUUUUUAUGCUCAACAGUUUCUUUGGAUCUCUGGUGUUAAUAAACUGUAUAAAAUACAUACAUCAUCCUCCUUCCUUUUCCAUGAAAAUGUGACAUUUUCUCGCCUACAGAUUUUGAAUUUUACCUUCUUGGUUGCACAAUAUGAGAAAAAUAUGGCCUGCAUAAUGAAAACCAGAAACCUCAUGGCUUGAGAUGUUCUUCAGUGUGAUAAAUGGAUGUGAAAAAUCAUUUGUGUUGGAGCCAUAGCACUGGUGUUGUGCGUUAUUAUUGGUACACAAGCAGGCCAGCUGGCGACACAGCUUAAACUAUGCUCCAGGUGGAGGAAAAAGCUGAAACAGUGGCAUCAAGGGUAGUUGAUAGUUCAAAGCAAAACUUCCUUAUCUUUACCUUUUCUCACUUGGUACUUGCUAGGAUCUCAUUGUGGUUCAACUCUAGUCAGAAACUAAGCCCCACACAGUGAGUCAUUCACUUGCUCCCCACUGGGAUAGGGAAGAGAAUCAGAAGAGUAAAAGUGAGAGAGCUUGUGUGUUGAGAUAAAGACAGCUUAACAGGUAAAGCAAAAGCUGCACACACAAGCGAAGCAGGACAUGGAAUGCAUUCACCACUUCCCACCACUUCAGGCAGGUGUUCAGCCAUCCCCAGGAAAGCAGGGCUCUAUCAUGUGUGAUGGUGACUUGGGUAGACAAACACCAUCAGUCCAAAUGUCCCUCCCUCUCUCCUUCCCCCAGCUAUAUAAGCUGAGCAUGAUGCCAUAUGGUCUAGGAUACUCCUUUGGUCAGCUGGGGUCAGCUGUCUCCGCUGUGCCCUCUCACAACUUCCUGUGCACCCCCAGCCCACUCUCUGCUGGGGUGGGAGGCAGAAAAGGUCCUGCCUCAGUGUCAGCACUGCUCAGCUGUAACAAACACAUCCCUGAGUUAUCAACACUGUUUUGGUCACAAAUCCAAACCAUAGCCCCACAGCAGCUACUAUGAAGAAAAUUAACUAUCCUAGCCAAAACCAACACAGACCUUUCUACAGGUUAUUUUCCUAGAAGUCCUGUUGGAAGACUUUUGCUCCUAAAGGAACAAGGCUGGAGAAAAGCAACUGCAGCCUGCUACCUCAGCAUACCUGUAAUACAGCUGGUAUUUCUCAAAUCUCUUCCAAUACUUUUAGUUUUUCUUCGAGGUCGCUUUAAAUUACCUGUUUCAAACCACAUUGUUUAAAUCUAAUUUAUGGGCGCCAAAGGCACAUCUAAGCAAUCGCUGUCACCUCUCCUUCCUGGUGCCUAAAUUCAUAAUGCCACUUCAUGAGAUAAAGUCUCCAGUGUCCAUGCUGACCCAAGGUGUUCUUGACACGUAGUACCUGUCCUUGUCCCUGUCCCCAUGUGUGGCACUGCAGUCCCCCAGCUCCCUGGCACACUUUGCACAACACUGAAUUGAACUGAGGAGCUGAUCUGGCUUAAAGAACAUCUGCCAAAACCCUUCCCCCUCGUCCUGUUUUUUAAUCUGGAUCAAUUCUCUAGUCUGGCCCUGAUGUUAAUAGAGCUGACAGGGAAGAAGAAAAGCUGGAGGAUGAGGGGUGAAAAGGUGAGAGAGUAAGAAAAAUCUUCAUCUCGUCCUGUUGCUGUGGUGUCUGUCCCAUGAACUCUCUACUGUCAGACACCACACUGGGAGAGGUCACCCCAAACCUUUAAAAUUUAUUGAGUCUCUGCUUCAGCAGAAGUUACCUCAGGAGAAUCUCUGUCAGGCUGUGACUACUGGAGGGAUGUCAGGCAGUAGUAAGGAGAAUGUGGUGAAUGCUUGGAAAGAAUGAAGGAGAUGUUGGAAGAAAUGGUACUUUACAUGAGAAAACCAGUGGGAACAGUCUAAACACCUAAACACCUGCCUUCUUAGGAGAUGCACCUGUAGGAGGAAGAACGUACAAGCCAUUCAGGGAAGGGUGAUCACUGCAGGCUCUGUUGUGCAGUCAGGCACAGUGUCACAGGUGCAUCAGCCUAUGGGAACAAGACUUGCUUGGGUUUUUUUUUCCUUCAACAAACUGUAAUUUUAUGUAUAUACAUAUGUAUUAAUACAGGGCAAGCCAAAUGUGGCCACAAACACCCUUUUCACAUGCUUUCUGCCAAGAAAUCCACCCUGAGUUGCACAUGAAGCCUUGCCCCUAGGAACUAUCUCUGUACAGACAAGCAGUUUACAGCCCAUGACCCCAAACCAUCUGCAGAUGCCAUUGUUAUUGCCCUCAGUGUUUGUCUGCAUCCCAAGGGUAUAUAAACUUCACUUUCCAUCCCCACCCCUGUUUUAAAUAGUAAUAGGUCAUCCCAGAAGCAUGUUUACUUACUUGUCAUUUUUGGACUUAAAUACAGAGCAGCCCAAAUCGCUUGAGACUUAAAAUUUUCUAAUUAACCAGUGGGAAACAGUGGAAGAACUUUGCAAAGUACAAUGCACAGCUAAACCAAAUGAUCACCCUUGAGUUUAGGCACAGGAAUGUGGAUACCCAGCAUUGCCACCCACAAGAUUUUUUUUUUCUUUAUUUCUCCAUUUGUGCAGGCUUUAAGAACUUCUGAUGUCUCUGCAUUGCUUCUGGUCAGUGGAGAGCUAAGACACCUGUAGCAAGGUGGGAACAGCAUCCUGUGCAAGAGCCUCCAGUUGUUGCCCUUUGAGGAGAGUGGAGAGGUAAACCUUCUGGAGAUGCAUCCAGGACUCAUGCAGUGGGAAAACCUCCCAGUCCCUGGUAGAAUCAAAUUUCUCCAGCUCACCAGUUGCUGAAAAAGUACAGAGGGAAAGCUUGUCUUUGUGGGAAAAAAUGACAGGGUGUCCCUGAAACCCCACGUACACCACACAGAGAUGACUCCUGGUGCUUCAGAGGUGGGCUUGGCAGAGCCCCCAGGUCUGUCCCCAGUGCAUGCCUGGGACCCUGUAGGUCUUACCACGCUGCAAAAGGAGACAGAUUUUUGACACAUUAUCCUUUAUGUAGAGGUAUCUAGAGGUUAUGACAUGCAAUGAACUGACCAGACUGAGUUUCUUGUAUUACCUUGGCUGUUAUAUUAUGUAAGGGAGGCAGAGUGUCCUCACAUUAUUAUUAUUAUUGUAAUUAAAGAAUAUUGUGCUUUUAAUUUGUACAGUUCCUUCCUCAGCAUUGUUUGAUACAAAUAGAUGAUAACAGACUGGUUAUUGUGAGUUAUUAAUAACGUAUUGUUUGCUCACCAUAUGCCUAGGAGACAGAGCAGUAAGUGGGGCUGCUGUGUCCUAGGUGUCGCUCCCUGCACUCACAACUGAGUGGAUAUCUUUGAUCUCUCUUUGCCUCCCGAGAUCUCUCUUCAGUUUGGACUUACUGCUUACCAUUCCCUUUGCCCCCACCCCUGGUUACCUCUAUGUUUGAGGGAUUCUGGAGAAAACAAGAACAGUUUGUUCUGCCUUUGCCAAUACCUCUUGCAUUUGUAUGGAGUGGAUGCUCUGGUCUGUUUUUAAUUUCCAUGAUUCUACAGUGCUUUUGAGUCCAAAGUGCUAAAUAUAGAUCUAACCC